UGAGGAAUAUUGGUCAAUGGACGAGAGUCUGAACCAGCCAAGUAGCGUGAAGGAUGAAGGCUCUAUGGGUCGUAAACUUCUUUUAUAAGGGAAUAAAGUGAGCCACGUGUGGCUUUUUGUAUGUACCUUAUGAAUAAGGAUCGGCUAACUCCGUGCCAGCAGCCGCGGUAAUACGGAGGAUCCGAGCGUUAUCCGGAUUUAUUGGGUUUAAAGGGAGCGUAGGCGGAAUAUUAAGUCAGUUGUGAAAGUUUGCGGCUCAACCGUAAAAUUGCAGUUGAUACUGGUAUUCUUGAGUGCAGUAGAGGUAGGCGGAAUUCGUGGUGUAGCGGUGAAAUGCUUAGAUAUCACGAAGAACUCCGAUUGCGAAGGCAGCUUGCUGGACUGUAACUGACGCUGAUGCUCGAAAGUGUGGGUAUCAAACA
rnacentral:rRNA from 1 species